AUAUAUCAGAUGGCCAGCUGCCCUUUAUUAGUUCUUCUUCGGAAAUUGAAACAGAAUUUAAUGCUUGUAGCCCUGUCCUAGUGGUCUGCAAGUUUGGCUUUUCUGUAACAUUU
rnacentral:snoRNA from 1 species